rnacentral:piRNA from 1 species
UGGGAAUCGUAUUGAAUUUAGGAAAAGAG